GACGAACGCUGGCGGCGUGCCUAAUACAUGCAAGUAGAACGCUGAAGGAGGAGCUUGCUUCUCUGGAUGAGUUGCGAACGGGUGAGUAACGCGUAGGUAACCUGCCUGGUAGCGGGGGAUAACUAUUGGAAACGAUAGCUAAUACCGCAUAAUAGCAGUUGUUGCAUGAUAACUGUUUGAAAGGUGCAAUUGCACCACUACCAGAUGGACCUGCGUUGUAUUAGCUAGUUGGUGGGGUAACGGCUCACCAAGGCGACGAUACAUAGCCGACCUGAGAGGGUGAUCGGCCACACUGGGACUGAGACACGGCCCAGACUCCUACGGGAGGCAGCAGUAGGGAAUCUUCGGCAAUGGACGGAAGUCUGACCGAGCAACGCCGCGUGAGUGAAGAAGGUUUUCGGAUCGUAAAGCUCUGUUGUAAGAGAAGAACGAGUGGAGAGGGAAAGUUCACA
rnacentral:rRNA from 1 species